AAUACGGCCAUGACGACUAUCGUUCGCUUUUCAUCCGAUCGGAAUUUAUUAUUAUUAUCGUGCCAGACACUUAUUUCGCCGAACGCCUCUCUGGAUUAUUAUUACACCGUGUUAGGUUAAUAAAAGGCCAAGAUUUAUGCUCCUCAACCAAAUAACGAAUUUUCCAGUUUUUUGAUUUAUGUAAAUACCAUGUAUUUGGUCCCGAAGAAAAAGGGCUAAAGUCAAUUUUUGGCAUUUAAUGUAUGUUUUUUAAUAAAUACGUAUAUGGAAUUGUAUCUCAUUUAACUAACUUCUCCUUCUAUCUUUAAAUUUUAGUCUU